UACGGAGGGGGCUAGCGUUGUUCGGAAUUACUGGGCGUAAAGCGCACGUAGGCGGCUUUGUAAGUUAGAGGUGAAAGCCCAGGGCUUAACCCUAGAAUUGCCUCUAAGACUGCAUCGCUAGAAUCGUGGAGAGGUGAGUGGAAUUCCGAGUGUAGAGGUGAAAUUCGUAGAUAUUCGGAAGAACACCAGUGGCGAAGGCGACUCACUGGACACGUAUUGACGCUGAGGUGCGAAAGCGUGGGGAGCAAACAGG
rnacentral:rRNA from 1 species